CGGGGCAUGGCCUAACGGUAAGGCACACGCUUCGGGAGCGUGAGAUUCCGAGUUCAAUUCUCGGUGCCCCGA
rnacentral:tRNA from 1 species